rnacentral:lncRNA from 1 species
UUUUUAUUGUUGCAAACCCUAGCAGUAGAGUGAAACACUCUGCCGCCUCUGUCCACUCACUCCUUCUCCUCCGUUUUCUCAACCCGUUCUCCGCCGUCCUAUUCCUCCACCGCCGUCGAACUCAAAGUACCUACCACCCAUUUCCUUCAUUUUCUUUGUGUUCGAUUUCUUUAUUGGGUUUGUUUGUUUUAAAUUUCACAUCUCUUAACAUUUUUUUUUCUAUCAUUGUGAAGUUGAAGGCGUAGACAAAAGUUAGUUUUUAUUUGUUUGUUGUGUUUUUUUUGUUAAGGUUUACAAGUCUUCUGUGGAUUUGGCUAACAUUUUGAUCGAUCGAUUUUAUUCUUCAGAUCUACAUGGUAAAUAAAUAAUCUUCAGAUCGAUUUUAUUGGGUUUGUUUGUUUUAAAUUUUCACAUCUCUUAACAAUUUUUUUUCUAUCAUUGUGAAGUUGAAGGCGUAGACAAAAGUUAGUUUUUAUUUGUUUGUUGUGUUUUUUUUUUGUUAAGGUUUACAAGUCUUCUAUUGAUUUGGCUAACAUUUUGAUCGAUCGGUUUUAUUCUUCAGAUCUACAUGGUAAAUAAAUAAUAUUUAGAUCCACAUAUUUCUCUUCAGAUCUACAUGAUAUAUCAUAAUGUCUCGAUCUUAAAAUAUGUCCCUCCUAUUGAUUUUUGGUUUUUGUUAUUUAUUGAUCCAAGUUUAUUUUUUGUUAGGUUUGGUGAAAAUUAUAAUUUCUUUUGUGCUUGUGAAGGUAUGUUUUGUUCUGUUGUUAGCUAAGAGAAUUGAUCCACAUAUUUAUCUUCAGAUCCAAAUGAUAUAUCAUAAUAUCUCGAUCUUAUAAUAUGUCCCUCCUAUUGAUUUUUGGUUUUUGUUAUUUAUUGAUCCAAGUUUCACUUUUGUUAGGUUUGGUGAAAAUUAUAAUUUCUUUUGUGCUUGUGAAGGUAUGUUUGGUUCCGUUGUUAGUUAAGAGAACUGGAAAAAUAAAGAAAAAGUUGGCAAAAGAGCUAAGAAGUUUUAAUUGAAAGGUAAUAUAAAAUUUGUUAGUAAAAAUGUAAUAUUUUUAGUGUUGACA